GGAGAGAUGUCCGAGUUGGCCGAAGGAGCAUGAUUGGAAAUCAUGUGUACGGUAAUCACCGUACCAGGGGUUCGAAUCCCCUUCUCUCCGCCA
rnacentral:tRNA from 1 species